rnacentral:rRNA from 1 species
UACAGAGGUCUCAAGCGUUGUUCGGAUUCAUUGGGCGUAAAGGGUGCGUAGGUGGCGCCGUAAGUCAGGUGUGAAAUUUCGGAGCUUAACUCCGAAACUGCAUUUGAUACUGCGGUGCUUGAGGACUGGAGAGGAGACUGGAAUGCUUGGUGUAGCAGUGAAAUGCGUAGAUAUCAAGCGGAACACCAGUGGCGAAGGCGAGUCCCUGGACAACUCCUGACACUGAUGCACGAAAGCUAGGGGAGCAAACGGG